rnacentral:rRNA from 1 species
AUUGAACGCUGGCGGCAUGCUUUACACAUGCAAGUCGAACGGUAACAGGCCUUCGGGUGCUGACGAGUGGCGAACGGGUGAGUAAUGCAUCGGAAUCUGCCUCGUUGUGGGGGAUAACGUAGGGAAACUUACGCUAAUACCGCAUACGACCUACGGGUGAAAGUGGGGGACCUUCGGGCCUCACGCGAUGAGAUGAGCCGAUGCCGGAUUAGCUAGUUGGCGGGGUAAAGGCUCACCAAGGCGAAGACGGGUAGCUGGUCUGAGAGGAUGAUCAGCCACACUGGAACUGAGACACGGUCCAGACUCCUACGGGAGGCAGCAGUGGGGAAUAUUGCGCAAUGGGCGAAAGCCUGACGCAGCCACGCCGCGUGAGCGAUGAAGGCCUUCGGUCGUAAGACGUCUGUGGGGAGGAGAAGAAUAAAGACCU